ensembl:lncRNA uncharacterized LOC115021376
AGCUGCCAGUGGGAAGCUCCUCAGAUCCGAUAUAGAUAUUUAGCUUGAUAAAACGUGAGCUAGCCGAGUUGACAGAUGGCGUGUUUCACUGUCAGGGCUAAGAAGGAGUAAACACUCGGCAGUGGGAGAACUUAUGAUCGGAUCUGGAUGGAACCGACGGGUCUACGAGACGUUUUCAAAUGUAUAACACUAUCCAUUGCAGCAAUGGAGGAUAUUGGUCUCCAUCCCAAAGCCACCAAUGACCCCCCUGUUCACAGACCCACAGUCACUGAGACUUUUGGGCUGCAGCACAUACCACCAGAGCAUCUGCACUUCACUGAUGUAAGCAGGAAAUCUGACAUGUAUAAAGAUGGACCGUCCAAAAAAAAGUCCCACUCAGUAAUGAUAGCAGAGCCACAGAUGAGUCCACAUGUUCCUCUGGUGGGUCCUCUGGGUGCUGACACCACAGCCAAAAAUGGAAACCCUAGUAUGGAUAAGGCAGGUGCUGGCAGGGAAAAAGCCAAAGUCGGAGAUCCAUCGAAGUGGAAGCAAAACAAGCAGAAACAGCUGAGGAUGGAGGGGAAAUCGUACGUGAGCAAACGCAAAAAAGAUGGUGAGGUUGUAACAAAACAGCCAAGAGCAAUCGGAGCGAGGUGCACCUCGAAUGCAUGCAAGAAGGCAUCGAACCGACUUUGUAAUGAAAUCAACGAGGAGACCAGAAAUAAAGUGUUUGAUGAUUUCUGGCAACGCAUGAACUGGGCUCAGAGAAAACUCUACGUAACAGAACAAGUUGACCGCGACCCCGUGGAAAGAUCCCGGGCGGUGGGAUCGCAGUCGAGAAGAUCAGUUUCACUCCGUUAUCACUUGAUGUUGGAUGGAAAAAGGAAACAAGUGUGUAAAAACAUGUUCCUGUCCACUCUGGGGAUAGGAGAGUGGUCUGUGCUCAACUGGACACAGACAGGAGCAACAACGAAGAAUGAACCAAAUGAAAACAAUAUAGAAAAGAGCCAGACUGUCCAUCAGUGCCCACAACAGAACGCUGCUUCUUCUGCAGUUAAUCACUCUGCAGAAGUCACCCAGGAACACGUGAAUCCCAAAGACAGGCCACCAGAACCAGAGGGGUCAGCCAGAAAGAAAUCCCGAGUUGCCAAGCCGCUAACAUGGAAGCAAAAUCGACAGAAGCAACUCAGGAUGGAGGGCAAAGCGUACGUCAGCAAACGAAAGAAAGACGGCUCGACCAUAACUAAAGGUCAGAGGACAAUGGGAUCUAGAUGCACGUCCAGUGCUUGCAAAAGGGCAUCCAACCGCUUCUGUGCGGACUUCAGUGAAGAAGCGAGGAACAAGCUGUUUACUAGUUUCUGGCAGUGUAUGACUUGGGCUCAGAGAAAGAUCUAUGUGUCCGGAUCAGUUGACUGCGACCCGGUGGAAAGAACCCGAGCACCGUGGACUCAGUCGAGAAGGUCGGUCUCGAUGCGGUAUCAUUUGCUAGCCGACGGUGACAGAAAACAAGUUUGCAAAAAGAUGUUCCUCUCCACUUUGGGGAUUGGAGAGUGGUCGGUGCUUAACUGGGCACAAACUGUAUCCCAGCAGGACAAUUCAGAGCAAAUCACCAAGAAGCAAACGCAGAGGAAGUCCCGUAAAGCUUCAGAGCACAUAGUCCUGAACGAGUUCCUCGAGAGUUUACCCAAAGUUCCCUCGUACUGCUGCGGGACGUCCGUCUCCAAGCUGUAUCUGGAGCCCGUCUUCUCAAACAUGUCGGAGGUGUACAGGCACUACUACAACCACUGCUCAGAGAGGAAGACGACGGCGCUCUCUCGGCAGGUUUUCUGUGCUGUGUUUAAAAAGAUGGAUUUGGGAUUGUGUGACCCCAAAGGGGAUCAAGGGUGUUCUUUCGGUGCGACUGGGAAUUUGUUUAAUGAGCUUUGGGAGGAAUACUGCUUGGAAAGAGGAGGAUCCAGGGCCACAACCAGGGAAAGUGGGUAACCAGUAGAGAAGGAUAAAGGACACAAAGGUUCUGUGUUGGAGAUACUUUGUUAUUUUCAACAUGAUCAUGUACACGCUGUGGAAUGUUGAAUUCCAAGACUUUGCCAAAAUGACUGAUCUCACAUUUGAUUAAAUCCUGUUAUGCAUAACCUGUGGUUGCUUCUUCCAAACUCACACUAUCUGAAGCAAUGCAGUCUUCACGCGGCUCAAACGUUUCACUGGAAUUAUUUAAGCACCGCAUUCAUUUAGUUUUUUGUAAUGGAGAAUGCUUUGUUGUUCGUUAAAAUGCAAGUUCUUAUUUUUGUUUGUCCAUUUUCAUUAUUUGUUCAAGCGUAGAAAAAAGUGUCAUGUGUGUAAAAAAAAUCUGUUAAUCUGCUGUUUGGGAUUUCAAUAAAUCUCAUGCGAAAGGUCAAAAUCAAAAGCCUUAAAGUACGCGCAACACUGCAAACUGCUCAAGUUAUUAGUUCUUAGUUCUUAUAACAGCCACUUACGCCUGAAGUUUUCUAUUUUCUUGUGUUGAUUAAAUAAGAACAAUAGAA